rnacentral:lncRNA from 1 species
UUUUUAUUUGUUUGUGUUUUGAUAUAGGUCGCACUUUCGCCCUAGGCAACAAGUACGCGACUAUAUCACCUUCCUUCCUUGUUUUAUUUUGUUUGGCCUUUUGGCACCCGUUUCUUUGCACCUGCACUAUAGAACCCCCUUUUGGCAUCCCCCUCCUCUAUGCUACGUUUCCCUCUCAUCUCUCUCCUCAACUGAAGGCCGGCAAGACAAGAUACACCAAGGGUUCAACUUUGGAACCAACUAGCACUAAGGACUUUUGCUACACCUCCUCGACCAAGUGUAACCCGGUAGAAUUAUGUUUAACUCUCCAGACUAGAAACCCAUCCCUAGACCCUUCGAGACUUCACGAGAUACCCCAGCUUGAAUCCUUAACCAAGUGCUUAACCCACAUAAUUGCAGGAGAACCGGUUAAGCCUCCAUAACCUUGCACAACACUAGGUUCAUUAUGGAACUAGUAGACAUAGUGAACUAGCACAUUACGAUCCUACAUAGGGAAGACCAAUUUGAGGAUAUAUGAAUAGAGGACAAAUGACUUGAUGAGUUUAUAUCAGAGACCUUUCGGUGGAUUAUAAGGCUUUCAUGUUGGUAGAUGAACAUGGUGGGAUCGGUUAAUAGAGUAGCAUGACUCUCAUUGCCCCUGAGUAAAUUGGAUUUAGUAGGUCAAUUAUGAUCGCAAGCUAAAAAUUCUUGGAAGAAUAAGGAUUUGACUUAGCCAGGGGUUAAUUGUCGGGGUUUAUUUAGGGAUCUGUGUGAGCUUGACCUUGGAGUUUACUUGACCAUGACAAUGGAAAUUGGUGGACUGACUAUAGUAAAGAUAGCUCUUUCAAGUAUUUGGGGAUUAUAGGACAGUAGAAGAUGGUGUGGAACACCAUAGACAUUGGAUUUGUAGAAUUAAUGGAUUAGGUAGUUAUUGAUGGAAGUUAAUGGACUGUUAGGGUUGAUUCACAGGAAGGAAACAAGAUCUUGGAGUGGCAUACGACGAGUUUCCUUAGGAUAGAGAUGCAAUAUCUUGGACCUUGGAAGAAUAGGCCAAGCAUUUGGAUUGUCAUGUUUAAUUCAAGCUUAGCAGCUUAUAUGCUCUACCCAUGGAUUUUACAUGAGGAUAACCAUACAUACGAGUUUGGGGAUAGUUGACAUGUAUGAUUUUGUUAGACCUCCUCUCGGGAGCCAUGAGGACAUGAAUAGCAUGAGUUAUGAUUGGAGUUGACCUAUAGGAGAUGAUGCUAUCGGUGAUAUGAUGUGAUUUGUUUAAAGGACUAGAUAGAACAAUUGGCAUCUCAGAAUCUGUUCUCAUGUAUAAGAUGAUAAACGUUCACUUGCACCCUCGAAUCCUUGAAACCCUUAAUCCCUACCAAGCCACAACAUGGUUGGAUCAUGACCAUAGGCUUUGGACCUAGGACGAGAAGAAUUUGGCGAAUACUCAACUGUGACCACCACCAAUGCCUCAACCCACUUUACGUACCCCAUAGACUUCAUGGAGUACUUGGAAAAUUUAGUUGUCAUCUUUAUUUGAUGACAUACUUCUCUACCUGAAGACGGAAGAAGAGUCAUUCAGCUGAUCAAGGAACAUAUGAAGACCGCCAUGUCGAGGAGGAAGAACUAUACCAACCAUCGUUGUCAAGAAGUAAACAUCCAUGUCGAAGACCAGGUGUAUCUGCAAGCCACUCCUCUCAAGAGAACCAAGCAUUUUCAUGUCACGAGAAGCUCACACCAAGAUUAUCGACCCCCUCCGAGAUCGCCACGAGAUGAAGAGAAGACAAUUUCCAGAUGGAGUUACCACCUGAGUUACCCACUGUGCACAACGUUUUCCACGCCACACAACUCCAAAAGUGUUUUCAACUUCCUAACUAGCCCGAUCUCUACAAGGACAUCGAUCACCAAUCCACCGACUUUCAGCCUGAUCUAACCUACUGCAAGAAACCCAUUAGCAACCUGGAUCAAGCAGAAUGCUAUACACGAAGCCACACCAUCAAGUACUUCAAGGUUCAAUGGAGCACCACACGGAAGCAAAAGCAUUAUGAGGACGUGAAGACUGCCCCACAUCUAAGUUCCGUAUUCCUUUCCGCGCCUAGUUUGGGAAUCUCGGGGACGAGAUUCUUGUAAGGGGGGUAGGUCUGUCACACCCUGAUUUUCUUGCCGCUACACUUAAGCUAAUAAUCAUGAUAAAAUAUGGUUUAACAAAAACUUUUGAGUGUUUUGGACCUUGCUUGAUUUGAUUUUUGUCUGCUGUUUGCAAGUGUUCUAAAAAUCAAAUAAAUCCUCCAACUCUCAUACUCCUUCUCCUUGAUCCAAAACCUUGCCCAAUGAUCAUGCCAUGUGUUUAGGACAUAAAAAUAAUUUCUUACAAAAAUAAUUUGGCCAAAUUGUAUUUUCAAAAAUUAGUUUUCCAAAAACCCCUGAAUUGAGAUUUGCACUGCAAGUACUUGAUUUGGGGUGUGAAAAAUCUUUCAAAAGGUAUAUUUGAAACCUAUUAGGUAUACGACUCCCAUAAACCAGAAAAAUAUAAUUUUUAAACGUUAUUUUCCUAUUUUAUUUAAAGGCUUUUUCUUAAGUCCAGAAAUGGUCUUUAAUAGGUUAAAAUUAUUAUAAAGCUUCAAAAAUAUUUGAGAAAAAUCAUGGAAACUCAGUGGACAUAUAUUUUCAAUAUACAAGAGUUUCAACACAUGGUCAUGUUUAAAUUAUUGGUCAAACCCCUCAAAUACCCUUUCUAGACAUUUCAAGCUUUUGAAAUGUUUACAAAGGAAAUAUUCUCCAUUAAAUACAGGAAAAUUCUAGCAUGUCAAAAAUGACCUACUUGAGGAUCCUAGAGAGUCUCAUAUCAUGGAGAACAAUAUAGCCCCACAAAAGCCUCUCAAAACCAUUUAUGUCCUUUUCCAAGUUUGAACAACUUUGCACUGCCAAACAUGUCCAAAUUCUCUCAAACUUGGUGCAGAUGCUCAAAUGGUGUAACAAUGCAUCUAGACCAAAUGGCACAAGUUGGAGAGAAGGAUAUCAUGAUCAAAGUGUUCUAAAACCCUUCCUGUCCAGAACCAAAUUUAAACAACUCUACAUUGCCAAGUGUCUCCUUUUGAUCUGAAUUUUUGUGGACAUGUUCAAAUCCUCAAAUGAUGACACUACACCAAGUGGUGCAUCAAGGAGAAUAGAUUUGCACGACUAAAUCUUGGAAAAGCCAUUUCUGUUGAUUUCUAGGGUUUACCAAAGUUACAUUGGCUACUUUGCCCAAAUGAGCUCAAACUUGGUGGAACACCCUACUUCUAUGUGCCAUUUCAUCAUGUUAAGUUUCAAAGCAAUUUGAGCAACCCAGCUAGCUCAAACCACCAUCAAAGACCUUCUGACAGAAUAUAAAAUUCCAAGUUUCAGCCCCUUCCACUAAUCUCCUUGAGCCACAAUCGUUACCACACCAUGUCCUAGAACCCCUCUACCACUUGAAAGAGUUUCAUGGUCUCAGCUCAAUUAUAUGGGGUGACAACCCCAUUUUCCCUCUCUGGACACCAUCAUUCCCACUCUCUCUCAACCCCCUCUCUCCUCUAGUGGAUCCCUAGGACAUCCGAUGCCUUUUCCACAUUGUUUACUCCCCCUGCAGUCUCUAGACACAAGUGGACGUGCGAGUGCGCGCGGAAAUGCCGCGGAUGCCGGCCAAAAACGCGCUCUAGAGCGCCUGGCAGGGCAUUCGACCGUUGACACCGCGUCCUCCGACCACCUCGAGCCUCCCCCUUGCGCCAGUCGAGGUGCCUCGAUGUCCGCAACAGGCCACCACGCUGUCCCCCUCCUUUCCCCCUCUGUUUUGCCCAUGCCGCGCGUGCCCAGAGCCGCCCGAGCCCACCAAUGUCGUGCGAGCUCGUGGAUCCACCCGGAGCUCGCCCCGCUCCCUCUCUCUCUUCGUGGCGCCCUACUCCACCCCCACGAGCACCGCAGACAACCCUCGCUCUCUCCCCUUGCCGCCCGAGCCGUUUCCACGGCCACCCGUGCGCCGCGUCCACGGUGAGGCACGGGUCGGCUACUUAAGGCCACACCCGAGACCCCUCUCUACUCCUUUGGCUCGCUCUCCCUCCCGUGCAUCCCCUGGACCAACCCACUCCCCUCCUUGCGCCCUCCAAUGUUGUCCAUGGCCGGAGCAGAGCCGCCGGCCAUCGCCUAAAUUCUCGUCGUCCGAGCCAUGUCCUCUCCACCUAUGGCGUUCAUUGCAUCACCCCAACCACCACGGAGGUCCCCUGCACUUCAUUUACACUCCCAGGGGCCGUGGAGCCAAGUUCAUCCUCGGCGGCAUCCCAGUCCCCCGCGGGCGAGAAGCACAUGGACGGGUGCUCCGCGUCACGCUAAAUCCGCCGGUGUGCCGGGCGUUGCCGGAGGUGGCCCGUGCCGCCCGGGAGAGCGUCGACGCCCGCUCGGCCUCACCUCUCGUGCCUCUGCUCUGUUUGAGCGGGAGGUAGGCGAUGGCCUGAGUGCUGGGCCCCGCGCGUCAGCGACCCAGCAGCUGGGCCCCGCCCUUUUAUGUGGAGACGGACAGCGAAAAACCCGCCUCUCCCAGGCGAAGGCGCACAUCGGCCAAUACGCCUUCGACGUCGCCCUGUCGGCCGCGUGGCCGAGCAGCUGGGCCGGCCCAGUUGCGCCUCGCCGUUAAAUCCUGCACAAUGCGCGCUGCCGCCGUUGGAAUUUGGCCCAUUAGGUAUUUCCAUUUACUUUUUUUUCAGCAAGAUUCAAACUUUUCCAGAGACCACAUUUCAAGUCCAAAUCAGAUGAUUCAAAUGUUCAGUGACUCCAUAAAUCAAUUUCUAAUUAAUGAGCCAUAGUGAACAUUUUUACACUACCUAGUUUAACCUGGAUCUAACAAAUAGGUCAUUUAUGCUCCUAAACCAGCUUAAAAAAUCCAUAGAAUAUUCAUUUGAACUCCAAAUCCAGUGUAACCAAUUCCUAAAUGUGUCUAAAAUCAUGCCUGAUUUAAUGGGUACAUUUACUCAUUUUUAUAAAAAUGAAUUCUGUGGACAACUUGCAGAUCCAUUAAAUCCAUUGUUUCCAUCAUAUUGAAAUGUUCUGAAAUAUCCACUGAUCCAAUCCCAAUGAAACCACUCUGGUUAUUUUUCAUAUAACCAGAGAAGUCCUAGAAAAGUCAACUUCAUAUUUUUAGAGCACUUUUAUUUUCUGCCUUGUUGUGUUGCUUAUUAUGAUUGUUUCCGACAUUAGUUGACGAAGUAGAUGGAAUACUCGGAGAUGGACCAGAAGACUUAAAGACACUGAUGAACCAGGAAAGCAGCCCUUUGACCAUGUCCAAGAAACCUUUUUUGUGCAUGUCAUAUGGCACUUUUAUUGCUUGCAUCGAAGUCAUGAUAAUGUGGUGACCACUUGAGGUGGUUUGCCUCCGUUACUUCCUUGUUGAUACUUGAUUGUGCAUGACCCUACCUUCUUAUGAGGGUUUACCGGUGGGAGUAGAUAGGAUGCUGAAGUAGUUGCUACGCAAAAAGGGGCGGGAAUAUGCAUGGUGAGGGAGACAAAGUAUUUUCAAAAGAAUUUUCGAAAACCCCGUCGGGUACCACUUAUGCCCGAGGGAGAUAAUGAGAUGGGUAAGCACUUGAUGACGAAGUGGUGUACAGAGGCAAGUGUGUGUGUUGCUUUCAGAAACGGAUUUGUUUAAGUUGCGACCGUUAUUCCAACCUUACAUGCGCAACCACUCUACCCUUGUAUGGGAAAGGGCAUUAUUGAUUACCUAGUCCGAUACUAACUUGGAGCCCGCAUUACUAGUGAUGGGGGGAGAGUUGGUGCUCUCUCCCGGGAUGGGGUCGUGCCAGGUAGGGCGGCCAUGACUGUUUUUACAGGGCACCGGACACACCGUUGGUACCCCGUGCUUGUGGUAUGUGAUGAAUAUCGGAGCGAGGCUCCACUAUUUUAAGACGUGAAAUGUUCGGCACGGGGUUACUAUCAAUCGAGUGGACUCUAUGUUAGUGUCGUCUAAGGAAAGGUAGUGAUCGGGUGCUUACCCCGGGUACUUGAGGUACCGCGGGUCGUGGAUGACACGUAAGUUCCCCGGAUCUUGUGGGUAAAGUGUGCAACCUCUGCAGAGUGUAAAACUUCUCGAAUAGCCGUGUCCACGGUCAAGGACAGUUGGGUAACUGCUCUUGGGCUACGUCCACAUGUUCACAAACCAAUGUGUGUGUUUGGAUAAGUGGGAAGAACUACUUGGGUCAAGUCAAAGGACUUGACAUGAUUGAGUUGGGUUGAUGCCCACUCCAUUUAUGUUGAUAUCUGUAACCAGUCCCUAUGGUUACUUGAAUUCGUAUGAUGCAUGUUUUACCAAUUGUUGAACAUGUCAUAGCACAACAAAACUAGCUUUCUGCAAAAUUUACCUAUAUCAUGCAUUGUUGUAUCUUGAACCAAAACAUGGGUUGCUUUCGAGUACAUUCAAAGUACUCAUUGGCUUGCCACUGGUUAUUUUAUUGGCCAGGCAUGAAAUAAUAGGAUAUGAUGAAGAAUACUUCGGUGACGAACAUGCGAGCUAGGACGCUUCCCAGUCAGAAUGCCUGUAGGGUUAAGGCAGAUGGCAUGGGUCCAAGUUAUCGACGAAGAUUUCUGCUGCGAAGUUAUACUCAAGACUUCACCAUAAUGGUCAUAAUUUACGUAAGACGGUAUGUAUGGAUGUAGUACUCUUGUUAUACAACUUCUGUGUGUUCAGUGAGCAUUGAUCUCUGGGAUCACUGUACACGUGCAUUCGGUGAUCACGACUUAUGAGUCGGGGUCCCCACACAAUCAUAAAAUGGUCUUUACCUGUAUACGUAGAGGAGAUCUUUACAUUGUUGAUUUCACUAUAAAGGCUCAACCUAGGACUUGCUUAAUUGCUAAAUCUUCUAAAGGCUGGUUGUGGCAUAGAAAGCUAGGUCAUGUGGGCAUGCGGAAUCUUGAUAAGCUUAUUAAAGGUGAUCA